GGGUUUGAUUAUGGCUCAGAUUGAACGCCUGGCGGGAUGCUUUACACAUGCAAGUCGAACGGCAGCACGGACUUCCGGUCUGGUGGCGAGUGGCGAACAGGUGAGAGUAAUGUAUCGGAACGUGCCUAGUAGCGGGGGAUAACUACGCGAAAGCGUAGCUAAUACCACAUACGCCCUUCGGGGAAAGCGGGGGACCUUCGGGCCUCGCACUAUUGAAGCGGCCGAUAUCGGAUUAGCUAGUUGGUGGGAGUAACGGCUCACCAAGGCGACGAUCCGUAGCUGGUUUGAGAGGACGACCAGCCACACUGGGACUUGAGACACAUUGAACUCCUACGGGAGGCAGCAGUGGGGAAUUUUGGACAAUGGGGGAAACCCUGAUCCAGCCAUCCCGCGUGUGCGAUGAAGGCCUUCGGGUUGUAAGCACUUUUGGCAGGAAAGAAACGGCGGGAUAAUACGUGCAACUGACCGUACCUGCAGAAUAAGCACCGGCUAACUACGUGCCAGCAGCCGCGGUAAUACGUAGGAUGCAAGCAUUAAUCGGAAUUACUGGGCGUAAAGCGUGCGCAGGCGGUUCGGAGAAAAGAUGUGAAAUCCCAGAGCUUAACUUUGGAACUGCAUUUUUAACUACCGAGCUAGAGAGUGUCAGAGGAGGUGGAAUUCCGCGUGCAGCAGUGAAAUGCGUAGAUAUGCGGAGGAACACCGAUGGCGAAGGCAGCCUCCUGGGAUAACACUGACGCUCAUGCACGAAAGCGGCAGGAAUGACGGAUUGAAUACCUGGUAGUCCACGCCUAAACGAUGUCAACUAGCUGUUGGGUUCGGGCCUUGGUAGCGCAACUAACGCGUGAAGUUGACCGCCUGGGGAGUACGGUCGCAAGAUUAAAACUCAAAGGAAUUGACGGGGACCCGCACAAGCAGUGGAUGAUGUGGUUAAUUCGAUGCAACGCGAAAAACCUACCCAUGACCAUGUCUGGAAUCCCGAAGAGAUUUGCAGGGUGCUCGCAAGAGAACCGGAACACAGGUGCUGCAUGGCUGUCGUCAGCUCGUGUCGUGGGAUGUUGGGUUAAGUCCCGCAACGAGCGCAACCCUUGUCAUUGGUUGCUACGAAAGGGCACUCUAAUGAGACUGCCGGUGACAAACCGGAGGAAGGUGGGGAUGACGUCAAGUCCUCAUGGCGCUUAUGGGUAGGGCUUCACACGUCAUACAAUGGUCGGGACAGAGGGUCGCCAACCCGCGAGGAGCCAAUCCCAGAAACCCGAUCGUAGUCGGAUCGCAGUCUGCAACUCGACGUGAAGUCGGAAUCGCUAGUAAUCGCGGAUCAGCAUGUCGCGGUGAAUACGUUCGGGUCUUGUACACCGCCCGUCACACCAUGGGAGUGGGUUUUACCAAGAAGUAGUUAGCCUAACCGUAAGGAGGGCGAUUACACAGUAGGAUUCAUGACUGGGGUGAAGUCGUAAUGGGUAA
rnacentral:rRNA from 1 species